AUGUUGGGGUGUGAUGAGGUAGGGGUCAGUAAUGUUGGAGUGUGAUGAGGUAGGGGUCAGUAAUAUUGGAGUGUGAUGAGGUAGGGGUCAGUAAUGUUGGAGUGUGAUGAGGCAGGGGUCAGUAAUGUUGAAGUGUGAUGAGGUAGGGGUCAGUAAUGUUGGAGUGUGAUGAGGUAGGGGUCAGUAAUGUUGGGGUGUGAUGAGGUAGGGGUCAGUAAUGUUGGAGUGUGAUGAGGCAGGGGUCAGUAAUGUUGGAGUGUGAUGAGGUAGGGGUCAGUAAUGUUGGAGUGUGAUGAGGUAGGGGUCAGUAAUGUUGAAGUGUGAUGAGGUAGGGGUCAGUAAUGUUGGAGUGUGAUGAGGUAGGGGUCAGUAAUGUUGGAGUGUGAUGAGGUAGGGGUCAGUAAUGUUGGGGUGUGAUGAGGUAGGGGUCAGUAAUGUUGGAGUGUGAUGAGGUAGGGGUCAGUAAUAUUGGUGUGAACUGAGCUUGGGAUCAGUAAUGGU